GUGUCAGCAGCCGCGGUAAUACGUAGGUGGCAAGCGUUGUCCGGAAUUAUUGGGCGUAAAGCGCGCGCAGGUGGGAUAUUAAGUCUGGUGUUAAAGUUCGGGGCUCAACCCCGUGCAGCAUUUGGAAACUGAUAUUCUUGAGUGCAGGAGAGGAAAGUGGAAUUCCUAGUGUAGCGGUGAAAUGCGUAGAUAUUAGGAGGAACACCAGUGGCGAAGGCGACUUUCUGGACUGUGUCUGACACUGAGGCGCGAAAGCCAGGGUAGUGAACGGGAUUAGAUACCCCGGUAAUCCUGGCCGUAAACGAUGGGUACUAGGUGUAGGGGGUAUCGACCCCUCCUGUGCCGGAGUUAACGCAAUAAGUACCCCGCCUGGGGAGUACGGCCGCAAGGUUGAAACUCAAAUAAAUUGACGG
rnacentral:rRNA from 1 species